rnacentral:rRNA from 1 species
CGCCCGUCUGAGGGUCGGCUAGACCCAAAGCAAUCGUCUCCUAGAAUCGGGACGCGGCAAUCUGCCGUAUGCGACCCGCGGAGGCGCCCUGGGCUCUCGAGGACUCUUUCGGGUUCCCCGUGGCCUCAAAUUCAUGCAGCGCCGUCACUGCUCUUCGACCAGUUUAGCAUCGACGGCUCCGCCGCACGGCAGGACUCGGAUUGCGUAGCUUUCUCUCAAACGAGCCUGCCUGCAGCUCUUUAAGGCGACCGUGUGUUGUUAUCCCGGUGGAGCGAGCGCUGGUGACGCGCCCCAUUGCGAAAUGAUAGGAGAUUUCCUUUCAUAUCUCCGACCUCAGAUCGGACGAGAUUACCCGCUGAAUUUAAGCAUAUAACUAAGCGGAGGAAAAGAAACUAACAAGGAUUUCCCCAGUAACGGCGAGUGAAGCGGAAAGAGCCCAGCACCGAAUCCCUCAGUGUCACGCUGACGGGAACUGUGGUGUGAGGGACGCCACCAGUCGCACCAGAGGGUACCGAAGUCCUCCUGAUCGGGGCUUCACCCAGAGUGGGUGUAAGGCCUUUGCUGGUACCUCUCGGUGCGGCCGCGAGCGUCUCAGGAGUCGGG